AGCUGCCGGCGUUGCCCUCUCCCAAGAUGGCGGCCAGGUCGCCUGCUCGGGCCUCCCAGGCGACUUUGCCCCACUGCGCCCGCGCUCUCUUCUCCUUUCCAUUUCUGGACCAAGGGGCUGCCAUAAGGAGUCUGUGACUAGAGAUGGGAGGUGGUGGCCACGGCCUCUCGCUGUAUGCUGUGUGGAAGGUCGAAUCAUCAUCAUCAUAAAACUUAAUAUUGCCCUUAUGUGCCAGGAACUACUCUCUCUCUGAGCAGAUGGGACAGGAAGACGGGCACUGGGGGGCUGGGUGGGGCUUAGCGCAGGUCCUCCUCAUCGCCCUGGAUGGUCUUCUUGAUGCGCAGCAGCAUGGUGGUGAGCCACUGGUCCAGCCGGGAGAUGGAGUCGUAUUCCUUCACCGACUCGGUGUAGCUGUCCACAUUCUGCUCCUCGUGGGCCUCUAGCAAUUUUUUCAUCAACUUGCAUUCCCGGGAAUCAGAGAAAGCUGGGAACAGCUCCUCAUACUUUUGGACAGCCAGCUUGGCGUUGAGCAUGUCGAUGCAGAAGUGGCAGAGGGCCGCCUUGAAGAAGUAGUCUUUGGCGCUGUACUUGAGGAGGGGGCUGUCCAUGGCAUUGGUCCCCACCUGUUCGUAGAUGUCAAUGGCCUUCUGAUACUGCUCCAGCAGCGCAGCGUAACCAGCCACCUUCAGCAGACACUUGUUGGCUGAGCUGUUGGACUCCUCGCCUUUGUAGUAGUCUGCAGACUGCUCGUAGUGGGCAAUGGCCUUCUCGAUGUCCACCAACUCUGUCUCAUAGAUCUCAGCAAUGGAGAUGUGGUGCUUGGCCGCAAUCGUGAAUCGGCCCAUGUCUGUGUAGAUCUCGAUUGCUCGCAUCAAACAGUUAAUGGCCUCUGGAGAGAAAGGGAGGUGGGAGGAGACAUGAGAAAGUGAAGUCGUUUCAGCAGAAGCUGAGGAGAGGAGGCGGACGCAGGCGCACCUGGCUGCCAGCAGAGAGAUCAAUAGGCGCUCAGAGCUGCCAGCGCUGCCACACACUCUCAAGGGGCUGGGAAGAAGGGGACGGAAUCCCUGAGCCCCAGGAAAUCUGGUGAGAGGGCUGACUCUGCAGACUGUGACUUGCUGGGCACAUGCUUCUGGGGGAGCCCUUCUCUCCUCGGGCUGCCAGGAUGCUACCAGCUUCCCACAACCCCAGGGACAGGGCACAGCAGUGCUAGGCCAGGAUGAUGGCCAGACUCCCACGGUGUUUUAAGACAGACCUGCCAAGGCCCUGCUCUUGAAGGACUGAGCUGCUGGCAAAGGGGAAGGAGGCAUGGGAGGCGGCCAAACCAGCAUCUGAGGUGGUCUUGGAGGCAACAGGGUGCCAGGUUCUACCUGGGCUCUGCCACCAUCUCUGCAGGAUCCUGAGCAGCUUCUGCUCCUGCACCAGGAGGACCUGGACCUCUGGCACGAGGAGGCUGGAUGUCAUCAACACUGAGCCCUCAGUGUGCUCUCCACUGCCCCCUCUUCCUCGUAGCUCAGCAGUCGGGAGCCCUCUGCUCAGUCCCUUUAACCUAGUCCUGCCACCCACCAGCUCCUCAAAGGUUUUGCCAAAAAACCUGAACACACCAGGAUGGCACUGAGGAAGAACUGGGCUACCUUUGUUGUACUAUCUCUUGCAAGAUUUUAAAUUUGGGAAAGGC
rnacentral:lncRNA from 1 species